rnacentral:rRNA from 1 species
UUCGCGUUAUUGCUACACACACACACAUUUAUGUAUAGAAUGUCUUANUUUUUGCGNAGAUACGCAAUAAANAAAUACAUACUUUCAACAACGGAUCUCUUGNCUCUCGCAUCGAUGAAGAACGCAGCGAAAUGCGAUGACGAUAAUGNGAAUUGCAGAAUUCAGUGAAUCAUCGAAUCUUUGAACGCAUCUCUUGCGCCCCUUGNNAUUCCGAGGGGCACACCCGUGUUGAGUGUCGUAGAAACAUAUCAUCAACCUUCUUUUGUGUAUUAUUGACCGGGGGAAGGCUUGGACUUUGGAGGUCUUUCAUUGCUGGCAUCCUUUCUAAGCCAGCUCCUCCUAAAUGAAUCAGUGGGAUCCGCUUCGGUGAUCCUCGACGUGAUAAGUCAUUAUUCUACGGUCUUGGGUUUUUGCCAGCACCCGCUUCCAACCGUCUUUAAAUAAAAGACAAUGUUCGGGUUUCGACUCGACCCC